AGCCUGAUGUCCAGCCAGUCUGAGGAAUCACCACCUCCCAAAAGUGCCUUCUGCUUUGGAGUUUUACUGUUGACUAUGACAUUAUACGGUAUGGAAUAUUCCUUUGGCCAGCUGGAGUCAGCAGUUCUGGCUGUGUCUCAUCCCAGUUUCUUUCCCAGCCCUGGCCUGCUUGCUGGGAGAGAGAGAGGAGUUAAAAAAACCCAACUUUCAUGCUGUGCAAAUACUUCCCAGCAGCAGCCCAAACAUUGGUGUGUUCUCAAAUCUAUCUCAAUCAGAAAUUCAAAACACAGCACCACAUGCACUGCUAUGAAGAAAAUUAACCCCAUCUCAGGUAGACCCAGUGAAUUGCUGUGACUGGAAGAUUACAUUUGGAUUUUUUGAACUUCUUAUCUCUUUUCCACCAGCACGCCUUCCCCCCAUAACAGUGGUGUUGACAGGCUUUACCUGUUCAAGCCAAGUUCAUGUAAGUUUAUUUUAGGAAGUGAUGUGUCUCCUUCUCACUCCCUUCCAUCAUCAUCUGUGAAGGAAAGAAUGUCCCAGCCCAAGAUACUGAACUAAAGUUCAGGUCUUUCCUCUUGCUGCUCGUCUGACCUGCCCAAUGUCCAGAGGUCUACAGAAUUCAGCAAACAUACCUACACCUGUGAGAACUGUGGCCCCUAAAUGUCAUUAUCUUUAAAAUUAAUAAACCAA